rnacentral:piRNA from 1 species
UCCCUAGGCAAGAUGGUUAGGAGCUA